UCCGUGGUAACACCACGGCAGUCCCUGGUGACGCUCGUAACACCAGGCAAGGGUUGCGCUCGUUGCGGGACUUAACCCAACACCUCACGGCACGAGCUGACGACAGCCAUGCAGCACCUGUGCUAGCCCCCGAAGGACACGGGCUUUCACCCGCUUUAACUAGCAUGUCAAGCCCAGGUAAGGUUCUUCGCGUUGCAUCGAAUUAAGCCACAUGCUCCGCCGCUUGUGCGGGCCCCCGUCUAUUCCUUUGAGUUUUAGCCUUGCGGCCGUACUCCCCAGGCGGGGCGCUUAAUGCGUUAGCUACGGCACGGAUCCCGUGGAAGGAAACCCACACCUAGCGCCCACCGUUUACGGCGUGGACUAC
rnacentral:misc_RNA from 1 species